GUGAUUUUGACAAGGGCCAAAUUGUCAUGGCUAGAUGAGUGGGUCAGAGCAUCUCCAAAAUGGGAGGUCCUGUGGGGUGUUCCCAGUAUGCAGUGGUUAGUACCUACCAAAAGUGGUCCAAGGAAGGACGAACCAGGUCAAGAUUGUCCAAGGCUCACUGAUGCAUGUGGAGCGCGAAUGCAAGCCCGUCUGGUCCGAUCCCAAAGAAGAGCAAGGCACCAGGAUGCACUAUAGCAGUGGUUUUCAAAGUGGGGGCUGCCAGGGGGCACCCGGGAAGCCUCAACAAUUUGUUCUUCCAUCUACUACUCAACUGAAGGCGUGGUCUGGAAAGCUCUUUACUGCUUCAGUGGAUGAGACUGAAAUGAUAAGUGACCUAACCAAACCAAAGCCUUGACUUCACAGCAUGUAGACCAUUGAAAAUGAAGAGCAAACUGAGGUAGGUGAACUGCAGAGAUCAUAUUUGGUUAUUCAUCCACCAUGGAUGAGCAGUGUGUCCUUUACUUCCUGCACUGUCACUAGACCAAACAGUCUGCUAUGUCAAGCACCUAAUAAAACAUUACUGCGUUUAGGUACAACAGUUUCUCCUAUUAAGCACUGUUGUCUGGCUUGUGGCAUUUCGACUGGCUCUUAAUCCACAGAACUAUGUCGCUUUUAAACAAGCUUUAAAAAGCAUGCUCAAUGAACGUGAACAACGUACAGCAGCAACCGUGCAAGAGACUGCAAGAUUCAGGCAAAGUUUCUCCAAAGCCCUACCUGAGAUUUUAGGAAUAGACUUGCAGCCAUAUGUGCAUAUCACUAUUUUUACCAUUAGCGCUGAUGCCAUACAGCGAACACCCAGACAGGUUAUUGCAUUUGUCUUUCUGCUGGCCUGCAGAAGGAUCCUAUUACUUUGGAAAUUACAGAAACCUCCACGGUUGUGCCUCAGGAUAUGUAAUGUAACUUGGAAAGAAACGUUGCCCUACCUGACAACCAGUGAUUUUGUAAGUAGAGGAUCCAACGGUGCUACUAGCAGAUUUGUUUCCGUGUGUGACGAACCUAAUAUUUUAUUCAUCUACUGUCUACAUUCCAUAGCGUGUGUGUUAUGAGUUUUGCAUGCUUUUAUCCAUCCUUAGUUGCCCUGGAGGAUUAUGGAAAUAUAUAAAGAAGGGAACUUGCAUAUGUAGUCCAUUUUUCUACUGUACAACCCCAUACAACAUUUUAAUACUCCCCUCCCUGUACUUUAAGCCUUCUUUUGAGAUAGAUAUAAAAUCCUGCAUGCCACCUGAUCCCUGCAACUGCUCCACUUCUUUUCAGUCUCCUCAAGUUCUCUCACAUCAUUCCAUUGCUGGAUUCCCUCCACCUGCUCCAUGUAGCUGCAUGUACCAGAUUAAAAAAACAAACAGACACGUUUGCUUACAGAGUCAAAUAUGGACCAGGACCAGGCUACCUUAAAGCACUCUGCACCAUGUUCCCUUCGAGCUGCUAGCUCAGCUUGACUGGACCCACCAUCUCCUAAGAUGAUAAGACUUGCAAUAGCAUUUUCUGUCCUGAACACCUACCUUUUUACCAACCUCUUAAAUGAGCACUAAUAAAUUACUUUAAAAAAAAACCCUUUGACCCUUGUUUUGUUUUUGUUUCUCAUUAUACUAAAGGACUUCGCCUACUUAAGGCAGAGACAUCGAAGAGGGUUAUGCUAAAACAAAACCACCUACGUGAGUUUAUAAGCCCACAUUCUUUGCAGUUUGCAGUAUGUGCUCCUGUGCUGCAGGUGGCACUGUAAAUAUUUUAUGACAAUUUGCUGGCUAGAGGUAG
ensembl:lncRNA